rnacentral:rRNA from 1 species
UACGAAGGGGGCUAGCGUUGCUCGGAAUCACUGGGCGUAAAGGGCGCGUAGGCGGAUCUUUAAGUCGGGGGUGAAAGCCUGAGGCUCAACCUCAGAAUUGCCUUCGAUACUGGAGAUCUUGAGACCGGAAGAGGUAAGUGGAACUGCGAGUGUAGAGGUGAAAUUCGUAGAUAUUCGCAAGAACACCAGUGGCGAAGGCGGCUCACUGGUCCGGUACUGACGCUGAGGUGCGAAAGCGUGGGGAGCAAACAGG